rnacentral:misc_RNA from 1 species
AGCAGCCGCGGUAAUUCCAGCUCCAAUAGCGUAUAUUAAAGUUGCUGCAGUUAAAAAGCUCGUAGUUGAAUUUCGGGACCAUCAUGUUGGUCGUGCCUCGGUACGUACUGGCAUUGUUGGUUUCUCCCUUCUGACGAACCAUGAUGUCAUUUAUUUGGUGUCGUGGGAAAUCAGGACUGUUACUUUGAAAAAAUUAGAGUGUUUAAAGCAGGCUCACGCUUGAAUACAUUAGCAUGGAAUAAUGAAAUAGGACGUUUGAUUCUAUUUUGUUGGUUUCUAGGAUCGACGUAAUGAUUAAUAGGGAUAGUUGGGGGCAUUAGUGUUCAAUUGUCAGAGGUGAAAUUCUUGGAUUUAUUGAAGACUAACUACUGCGAAAGCAUUUGCCAAGGAUGUUUUCAUUAAUCAAGAACGAAAGUUAGGGGAUCGAAGACGAUCAGAUACCGUCGUAGUCUUAACCAUAAACUAUGCCGACUAGGGAUCGGAUGAUGUUAAUUUUUUAAUGACUCAUUCGGCGCCUUAC